AGUGAACGCUGGCGGUAGGCCUAACACAUGCAAGUCGAACGGCAGCACAGAGGAGCUUGCUCCUUGGGUGGCGAGUGGCGGACGGGUGAGGAAUACAUCGGAAUCUACUCUGUCGUGGGGGAUAACGUAGGGAAACUUACGCUAAUACCGCAUACGACCUACGGGUGAAAGCAGGGGAUCUUCGGACCUUGCGCGAUUGAAUGAGCCGAUGUCGGAUUAGCUAGUUGGCGGGGUAAAGGCCCACCAAGGCGACGAUCCGUAGCUGGUCUGAGAGGAUGAUCGGCGACACGGGAACUGAGACACGGUCCAGGCUCCUACGGGAGGCAGCAGUGGGGAAUAUUGGACAAUGGGCGCAAGCCUGAUCCAGCCAUACCGCGUGGGUGAAGAAGGCCUUCGGGUUGUAAAGCCCUUUUGUUGGGAAAGAAAUCCAUCUGGUUAAUACCCGGGUGGGAUGACGGUACCCAAAGAAUAAGCACCGGCUAACUUCGUGCCAGCCGCCGCCGUAA
rnacentral:rRNA from 1 species